rnacentral:rRNA from 1 species
GACGAACCGUGCGAACGUUGUUCGGAAUCACUGGGCUUAAAGGGCGCGUAGGCGGGUUCGCAAGUCUGUGGUGAAAGCCUCCAGCUUAACUGGAGAAGUGCCGUGGAUACUGCGAAUCUUGAGGAGGGUAGGGGCGUCUGGAACGGUCGGUGGAGCGGUGAAACGCGUUGAUAUCGACCGGAACUCCGGUGGCGAAGGCGAGGCGCUGGACCCUUUCUGACGCUGAGGCGCGAAAGCCAGGGGAGCAAACGGG